GGAUUAUAAAAAAAAACACAAUUUGAUAUCAAUUAGCAUUUUGAGAUUGUUUUACAUUAUUACGUUACAGAGUCGUAUUAUAUCAAAGAAGGAUAUUUAUUUAGAUUUAAUUAGCUUAUUUGAGAUUCUCUAUGUAUAUUUUUAUGUAAAUUUCUAUUAGGCAUAUGUACUUUAUCCGAACCCAAAAAUUUAAACCAAAACUGAUCCAAAAAUACAUAUUCAGUUUGGUCAAUUUUUAAAACAAAGUAUUUAUUGGGUAUACUUUUGAACCCGCAGGUCUCAGUUAGGUCCAAGUUUUAUCUGAGAUUCGAUCGGCUAAACAAAGUACCCAAUUGUUUUGUGUAUAUUAGGCAUAUCUGGAUAUUUAAGAUUGGUAUUAUGGAUAUUUUAAGUUAAAAGGUGAUGCUAUCAAAAUUUACUUAUAUAUUUCAGGUAUUCAAGUAAAAUUUUGGAUAUUUUCUGUUUUUAGUUCAUAUUUUUGGUAAAGUUUUGGGUUAUAUAAACUAUUUGAAAUUUUAAGAGUUUUGUUUGAGUUUUCAAAAAAUUUCAUGUUUCAGGUAUUUUUGUGUGUUUUGGGUAUUUCAAAUCUUUUUGGGUUUUAAAUUCAAAUCGGUCAGACCCGUUAUGUAACCAAAAAUUAUAGUUAUUUGAAUUACGAAUCUGAACCGAUCCGGAACCAACCCGAAUCCGAACUGAAAUUUUCAAAUAUCUAGUUGGUUUAAAUGUCUAGGACAUAAAAGGAAUCGAUCCAACUCGGCCCGAAGACCCAAAUAUUAAACUUUACUCUCUCUCAUUAUAUUUGGUGUGCAUUUUAUAAUAUUUUUAUUUGUUGAGUUGAUAAGACUUAAGAUUUAUUUAGCAUAUUUUUUUAAUUUAGUAUUGCAGUCCCAAAUAUAUAAUCUAAUAACAUAAUAUGAAACUUUCUAUAUUGUCCACAAUGUCUGAUAUAAUUUGUUUUGUUAAUAGUGUUGAUAUUGGUAUAGCACGUUAGUUAAUGGUAGAUGUUAUAAGUUGUAGAUCCUAUAAAGGUCAAUUACGUUUGGUAUUAUAUAUAGAUAAAAAAGUGGAUCCAAAAAAAUAUUAGAAUUAAAAGAUAGAUUACAAUAUAUUUCUAAAUGUUGGAAAAUAUUAUUUGGUUGCUAUAUAAUAGGAGUUCAGUUAUAAUAUAUAGUUAUAUAUAAUAGAUUGGACUAAAAAUGAAAGGGUACAGUAACCUUGUAUAAGUAGAUUUUUCAAAACUAAUUCUCUUUUAAUAGAAUAGAUUAAAACAACUGAAAAAUGUUAUAUAUUUGAUUAUUACUAUAAAUAACUAAAUAAGUCAUCUUACAAUAUUAUAAGGUGAAUAUAUACUCAAAAGGAGAAACAUGCCACCUCAGAUUAAAAAAAUCAACCAAUGAUAUAUUUUUAACUUACCAUGUCAGCUCACUCUUUUCUACAAUUUUAUCGUUUCUUCUUCAAACAUUUGUCGGUGGUCACUGACAAUAUCUCCACCGAUCAACUUCCUUACUAUCAAUAUCAGUAACCGUACCAUUCAACACAAUACUCUCUUCAACUUCUUCCCUUUCCCCAACCUAACUAUAUAUAUGGUGAGAUUCAAGACCAAAGUUUCUCACAUCGUCAUACCCAAAAGCACCAGCCUGAUGAAACUCCAAGGCUAAAGCACGAAUAUGAUAUCAUAUCAACCAUUAAAAAAUGGCAUGUGAUGAAGUUGUUGAUGAGUUGGAUGAGAACGAGGAAAAAUAUGAAGAAGAUGACCAAGAAGUAGAGUCGCCAGCUGGGAUGUUGGGUUAGUGUACGUGGAACCAUGAAGUUGUGACUUCACAGACAGUGACUGAAGAAGACUGGACUAUGCGUCUAUGCAUGACGGUAACUAUUGGCCUGAUCAUCCUGUCAUGAUCUACGUGAGAUGCUCAGAGGUCUUCCUUGGAAACAACAAUGUUUAUGAUGUAGAAAACCAUGAGCUUCCUAGGCUGGUUUAUUUUCUCGUGAGACCCGGAUUUGACCAUCAUAAGAAGGCUGGCGCCAUGAAUUCGUUGGUAAGUAAUUAUGCUUAAUCCUUAACUGUAUUAUUUUUAAAUGAUAUAUAUGCGUCUCUCACAAACUUAUUGAUUCUUUUGUCUUUUUAUGUUGUGCUAUUCAUUGAAAAUACGAGUCUUGGGAAUUUCAAUUGUGCCUUAUCGUUUGAAAGUCGACUGUUAUCACUACAUCUACAAUAGCAAAACUCUAAGAGGAGCAAUGUGUUCUGUGGUGGCUUCUCAGUCGAGAAAGAAGAUUUGUUAUGUUCACUACCCUCAAAGAUUCGAUGGGAUUGGUAUACACGACAUAUACAGUAAUAGCAAUGUUGUAUUCUUCUAUCUUCAUUGGAAGCAAAAAGAACAAUCGCAUCGAUGCUGGAGCUUUGCACGAGCCACUGAAGAGAGUUUUAAGGAGCACUUGAAAGUUGAGCCAACAGAUCCAAAACAAGGCUUUCUUGAUUUUUGUUAUCCCCCACGACAAAGAGACAUUUCUUACGAUAAGAAAUGUACUAUAUAUUAUCUCUAGACACAUUUCUGCAAUAUUUUUUAGAGGAGCUAGAAAAUGAGGAAUCUGAGUUUAGAAAUUCGGACUUACAGCUCGGCCUUGCGACUCUUGAAAAAAAGUGUUUUUGAACAUCGCUAGAUGAUCUGAACUAGAAAGUGCAACCGCUGAAGGAACUAUGGUCACCCGAUUUAAAAGGUAUAGAUAUAGAUACCAGUGAGAACCAGAUUUGUUGGGAUCCUUGGCACCAAAUGCAGAGAAUUCUAUUGGAGUACUGGUUGAAGUUUACUGGCAACAAGAUGGGUUGGGAUAGAUGGCAAUAGUCCACAUCUAUUUUUUGGUCAAAAUGUUAAUUAUUAUAGUUCACAUUGAGUUUUGUGAUUGUUCAGUGUGACCAAAGUAUCGCAAUGUAUAUGCAUGUUACAGAAUGAAGUUCGUGACUGAUUUGUUUGCUGACAUUUGAGCAACCUUUUUAUGAUAGGUUGUCUUUAUUAA